UCCGCAAUGGUGUAGAGGUAACAUCUGUCGCUCUCAUUUCAAAAAUCUAUCAGAAAAGAUGAUAUGAUAGCGCCGACAAGCCCGGGGUUCGAUUCCCCGUUGCGGAA